ensembl:lncRNA
GUAAUAUAGAAAUCCUGGCUAGGAGGACGUGUCCUGGGAAAAUGGCACGUUUGUUCACCCUACCUUAAAAUCAGGUGUAACCCAAGAUCAGUGAAUGUAGACGUAUUGUGUGUUUAAUGACAACAUUAAAUUAAUAUGAUAUUUUAUUGUCUCAGCAUGUCCCUCGGUCAGCACUUGUCCCCGUGCAGUGUACUCACAUGUGGGCCACUGCUUCAGCGUUACAGUAGCUGGAGCACACGGCACGGAGUUAGUCACAUCUCCCGGCAGUACGUCAGGAACACACGUUGUGGAUGGAAACUCUGUCGUCAUUUGCUCACUCUGAUGUCGUGUGCCUGACUUCACUGUCGACAGCAGAGAGCGCGCAGGGCUGCGGGAGCUUGUCACGCUACAUGCGGCUCUGCUCGUGGGUUGAAACCGCCUCAGCUAGUGCGGACUUCUUCUCAUGGGUGAGUGUAGAGGAAGGGCAUGUGAAGGAAAUAGGUAUUUGGUUGUGGACAAAUAAGAGUCACUGUUAGUUACUGUUGUCAUAACUGCAUAACAGUGCCCUUCUGUUGAUGGUUUUCAGCCACAUUAUAAUCAGUGAAUAACUGGGACUGUAUUCAAUUUAGCCUGUUCUAAGUAAGAAUCCAGUACUUCAUGGGAAGUUCGUGUGGCGUGAUCCUUCCUUCUAUUGAAUGAAUGAACAGGACAACUAAGAUUCUUUUCAUGUAGUUUUUCUUUGAGUAUAAAUCACUGGGAGGGUUCUCACAGUAUUCCAGUGCAGGAAUACACACACACACACACACACCAUGUCUCUCUGGCUAUAAAAUAUUCAUAGCGUUAUGCAAAUGUAGUUUUAAACAUAUUAACGAAAAGUGUUUUGAUACAAAAACCACAUAAGCUUAAAAAAAAUGCAUUCGUGUUUAUUCAGCAUUUUUACCACAUACAAGACCAUCAGAAAUACAUUCACACGUGUCACACCUUAUAUAGCUUUGUUUAUGAAGACAUUUUUUAUUUGCAAUAUUUAUUUUAUAGGACAUUGUAAACAGGAAAAUGACUGAGAGAAAGGAAAUAAAAUCUACUCUGACCUGACGGAGGAAUGGAACUUGGAAAUGGAACUUGGAAAUGGAAAUUUCCUGAUCAUAUGCCCUGAAGAUAAUUGUGAUUGUAUCGCAAACUGUUAAUUUGUGCUAAAAAUGUAAUAAAGCUUCUGGCUGUGUGACCUGAUGAUUUCUCAGCUGUUGUAAUGUCUUCACACACAUUUCCUUUCACUCACAACUCAGAUUGUGAAUGUAGCAUUUGGUGCGUUUUUAAUGAAUUUAUCUAAGAGAAAAUUUGUAUUAAAGUUCCUGAUAAUUUGACCUGAUGACAUCAUAAAUAAUACUUGAACCUGACUAAAGCAGGAAUCAAACACAGAUUUUUAUGAUGUGCAUUGUUCAAUGGCGAACAGCCUACCACAGCUCCACCUAAUCAGUUUUAUUUUAUUUGUAAAGCCUCAUAUAUACUUCAGUUCUCUAAACAUAUGCCCUGAAGAUAAUUGUGAUUGUAUCACAAACUGUUUAUUUGUGUUCAAAAUUUAAUACAGCUACUGGUAAUGUGACUUGAUGAUUUUACUGCUGUUGUUCACACACAUUUCCUUUCCAUCAUACACGAGUCGGAUUAUGAAAAUAACAAUUGGUCUAAUUUUCAUGAUUUUUUUUUCCGUAAUACAAAUCUGUUAAACUUCCUGGUCAUGUGAUCUGAUGAUGUCACACCAGUUGUACGAUCUUCACUCAAAACUUGGAUUUUGGAAAUAUGAUUUUGUGUAUUUUUGGUGAAUUUUUGAAAUAUUCAAAGCUAUAUAACUUCCUUGUCAUGUGACCAUUGCCACACCCACUGUAUUAUAUUCAUAAAUAUUGGUCAAACACCUCUCAUGCAGUAGUUUGUGGAAAUUUGUCUCAAACAUUUAAAAACAUCAAACGUAUCAAAUUUAUAUAUAUAGCACUUAGCUGAAUAUUUUAUUCAGCAGGUAAUGCUCAACCACGGAAAAGAUGAGUUAGCACCUAAAAUUCAGUACUGCCAAUAUUUUGGAAAAAAAACAUAUAGUUUUGAUGCCGUUUGUUGUGAUUCUGAGAUUAACUGUUGUAUGUUAGUUUGUUAAACUAGUUUUUUCAUAUUUUAUGGGGAAAUGUU